rnacentral:piRNA from 1 species
UGGUCGGUGAAAACAGGACAUCCCAG